GAUGAACGCUGGCGGCGUGCCUAAUACAUGCAAGUCGAGCGAACGGACGAGAAGCUGUCUUUUCUGAUGUUGUCGGCGGACGGGAGAUUAACACGGGGAUAACCUACCUAUAAGACUGGGGUAACAUCGGGAAACCGGAGCUAAUACCGGAUAAUAUUUUGAACUGCAUGGUUCAAAAGUGGAAGACGGUCUUGCGUUCACUUAUAGAUGGAUCCGCGCUGCAUUAGUUAGUUGGUAAGGUCACGGGUUACCAAGGCAACGAUGCAUAACCGACCCGAAAGAGAGGUCGCACAGCCUGGAAGUGAGACAGGUCCCCCACUCCUACGGGAGGACACAGUCGGGAAUCCUACGCGAGGGAGGAGAGCCUGACGGUGCACAGCGGGGUGAGUCAUGAACGUCCUCGGCUCGUAAAACUCUGUUAUUCGGAAAGAACAUAUGUGCAAGUACCUGUGAACAUAUUGACGGUACCUAGUGAGAAAGCCCCGGCUAACUACGUG
rnacentral:rRNA from 1 species